rnacentral:rRNA from 1 species
CAGCCGCCGCGGUAAUACGGAGGGAGCUAGCGUUGUUCGGGAUCACUGGGCGUAAAGCGCACGUAGGCGGCUAUUCAAGUCAGGGGUGAAAGCCCGGGGCUCAACCCCGGAACUGCCUUUGAAACUAGAUAGCUUGAAUCUUGGAGAGGCGAGUGGAAUUCCGAGUGUAGAGGUGAAAUUCGUAGAUAUUCGGAAGAACGCCAGUGGCGAAGGCGACUCGCUGGACAAGUAUUGACGCUGAGGUGCGAAAGCGUGGGGAGCAAACAGGAUUAGAUACCCGCGUAGUCCCUGUCUCUUAUAC